GACUUUGCCAAAUGUCCCCUAGGGGGCAAGCUCAUCCCCAGUUGAGAACCACUGUUUUUACCUCCCACUGUCAGAGCAUUUGAACUUUGCUGUUGAAAUGAUUUUCUAGGUUAAAAAAGUUGCUUAUUGGCAUGUUUCAGCAUCUUAUAGAGAAUAGAGAAAAAGAUGGAGCUUAUUAAUAACAUGUUAUUUAAUCCACUUCUAUUAAAAACAAUUUAAUUUAAACAAUGUUUUCCUUAAAAAGCAGGAAAAGAAAAAUAAAAGUUCUGCAAACAUGACAUGUCAAGUUAAUAUAUUUCUCUCACAAACUGCCCAAUAGAUAGAAAUGAUUAGACCAAGAAAUCAGAUGAUUUUUACAAACGCUGCUGCUACAAUUAAAAAAAAAAAAGCACAUUCUGUAAUUAUGGAUUACAUACAAUUAUUUUGUUUGGCAGUAUUCCCCAAAAGUGUAGCCAAGGAAAUUAAUAACCUAGGAAAUACACAGCACCACUAAUAUGUAUCUGGAUAUCUUAUAUCACCUCAUUCCCUUUUAUAAAUGUCUCUGAAUACAGAGCCAGUGUAUUUAAAUUUGUAAUUCAAUACUUUUCUCCCAACUUACCCACAUGAUACUCUAUUACUCAGUGGAACAUUGCAACAUAAAACAAUUCAUCUUUUCAGAAGACAUCAACAGUUAUAUAACCUAAUCAGGUUGAAAGGAUUCUAAAAUGCAGGUUCAUUUUCCCAGGUUGUGGAUGAGAGAAAGUAACACAUAGUUACUGCUACUGCCAACACCAUGGAAUUAUGAGAGAAGGGAAGACCUGCUUACCCAAUGAAGGUCAGCUGACCAGUGAUGACAAAUUAGCAGGGAGUUGUUAAUGUGCUUGCAUGACCCAUGACUCCUUAGCAAAAUGUUUAUCUCAGACAUAAAAGCCUAAGCUAGUGGGAUAUUCACAGAUCAUUAGGAAUGAUGAAAAACCUGUCUGACCCCAACUGAGCCUGGACUUAAGAACCCAUUGACUAUGGGAGGUAAUCGUGAAUUAGUUUAUCAAAUAAAACUGAUAUGUUGUUAAGAGAGUCCUCACUAGUAUGGUGCCACCCAGGAAAAGAUGAUGUCGAACAAAGUAGUAUAGUAAGAUGAGAAUUAUUUAGUAAGUUUCCUCUGAAUUCCUUUCUAUUUAAAAUAUUUUUUUUUCUUGCACUGCGUGGUAUCUGGAUUCAGUAGUUUAUUCCUGCUGGGUGUUCAAAAGACAUUACAAUAUAAAUUCAGCAUCUGGCAUCGUUGGUUUUCUUGGCAUGUUAAACCUAGUAUUUUUAUUGACACAAUAUUAAGAAAAAAAGUUUUUUUUUUCCAUCAGCCAUUAGGAAUUAUUCCCUUGGCAAUAACAAAUGAGAGAUUAGUGCUUGUAGGGUGUGUAUACACAUUGAGCUUGUAACCCAAUUUAAUUGAACAAGUAUAUUCAAACAGAACAUAUAGCAUGAUGUUAUUUCACCUUCUAUUCACUUGUAGCAACCAUUUUCCAAGUCACUUUUUAGUAAAAUGAACAUAAUCAUUGAAAUGAUAACUAAGUAGAUGGUUGAGUUUUAUUUUAGUUAACAUACGACUGCUCUAAACAGCCUCUGAGAUCUUAAGGCAAAACCCCACAAAUGGUGACUUAUGUUCUCUACUGGUCUGCUUAUUUCUUACCAGGUUUGGUAAUCUGGUGUCACAUAUCUUGUAGAGUUGAAAGAGCGAUCUAAGAACAGGUUGAAGGAAGAGGACACGUGAAGGGGUAAAAGUUAGAUGGGCAGUGAUGAGUGUGUUGGGAAAUAAUUUGCUGUCAUCCUGGCAACAAAGACCAAAAACUCUGAGGCAGUUGUCUACCUAUAUUGGCUAUUCUGCAGGUAUCGUAAGAAGUGAUCACAACUAUCAGAGAGUUACAGUUAGGGAUUGGAAUGAAAGGGGCUAAACAUCUACCCUGACCUACCUUCUAAGCCUCCAAGCUACUAUUCUUGUCAAGUGGUCUUCUUGGCUGUGUUUUAAUACCCAUGGGGAAUGGUUUUGUGUUCUAGUCUGGCUCAGUUUGCCAUCUGUGUUUACAUCCAAAUUGAGAAAAAGGAAGACAGGAUUGAGGGUAGAAUCCACUGGCAAACUGGAAGAAACAUCUACUCAGGACGACACUCCUCCAACUCAACACACAUUCAUACUGCCUCAUAUUCCUGCUCCGUUUUCCUGUCCUGCAGGUCCUUUUUCCCCAGCCACCUCUCCCAUCACCUCAGGAGCUCUGACUUGGCCAUCACUGUGACUUAGAGGCUGAGAAGGUUCUGGCUACUGAGGAGGAGGCAUUAGAAGCUGUUGCCCUCCCUCCCCUGAAGCACUCAAAAGUUAAAGAAAAAAGUGUUGGAGAACAAUGGCUAAAGAGCAUUAGAUAAAUAAAUUGCCUUUGUGUGCUUUCUUGAAAACCCAGCACGUAAGUGAUUGUUUCCAGUAGAAACGUUUGCAUUCCAAUCAACUUAACAUCUGAAAUGCAACGGGGAAUAAAUUGGAAACAGCCUUAUUGAUGUCACAAUACAAUGAUAAAAGUUCCACUUCUCCACAGCACCUUUAAAAAAGUGUUUAGAUGUUUCAGAAUAACAUUUUUCUUGCAAAAAGCCAGUACAUUCUCCUCAUCUCAUGCACACACAUAUCAGAUAAGCAAAAAUAAUACCAGAAAGCUCAGAUUUAGAAAAACUCCUAAAUUAGAAUUUGAUUUAAAAAAAUUGAGUUAAUCACUCAGUAUUAUUAAGUUGGUGUUCAUUUUUACA